AUUACAAGGUUAGUCGAUCAUGUUAAUAGCUAAGAUAUAUAUGUAUAAUCAUCAGUGUUUGAGCUAGCAUGAGUUUUUGUGUCCAUGGACUCGCAUUUUACUCCAGGGACUCGCAUUUUGCCCUAAAGACUCACAUUUUCCCAAGGAUUUUUACAAGGCACUGUUUAGUGAUCCGACAGUUGGUGCACUAAUUAUGUUACUAUUGAACUGUAUGCAUAUGAAUAUCAUUAAAAUCGGGCCACGCCUAUCUAACACGUGUACCAUUAAAUGGCCACUUGCACUGUGUUCAAACUGUUCAUCUAUCUGUUAGCGUGGGAAACACUGUACCAGAUGGCCACUGCCUCUCUUCUGGAUAAUGUGAUUAGUCUAGAUGUGUUAGUCCCUCCAGAAGCUCUUUCAAAUCAUGAUGAUAGGAGUGUAAUUCCUACUGCACCUGCCGUGAGCUGUCAAGAAGCAGCUAGACUUAACGAGUCCAGUUCUGAUGAUGUAAGUGUAGGACUGAAGUUUUCCAGCUGGAAUGAAGUACGAGAAGCUAUUGAUAAUUUACAGAGGAAAAAUUUUUGCCAGUUUUAUGUUAGAGACAGCAGAACUUUGAAUCAGGCUCAAAAGUUCAGUCCUAAGCUAGUCAACAAAGUUCCAGUCUCUUAAGUAUGCUUUCAUACAUUUGUCCUGUAUUCAUGGGUGGUCACACUUUUAAAUCAAGGCCAAAAGAUGGAAGUAGACCACAGAAAAUGACAUGCAAACAAGAAUGUCAGGCAUACGUUAAAAUCAGGCUUUCAGAAGACAAACUUCAUUUAGAAAUUAAAGAAGUAAUGCUGGACCACAAUCAUCAGUUAAGUUCUAAAGUAUUUCUGAACCUUCCUCACCAACAAAGGCUGGAUGAAAAUACAAAAGCUGACAUUAAAAAGCAUUAAAUUUGAAAUCAAACAAGAAACUUAAGUUAUUUCUACUACAGGUAAAAGCAUUACUUUUUGGGACUUGACUAAUAUUGCAACCAAGUUAAAGCAUAAGAAGGGCACCAAUACAAAUGAUUUACAGAGAGUUGUGUCAGAGCUUCGAAAAGAUCCUACUGUUACUGUGGAAGUAUUCACAGACACUGAUGACAACUUGAUGGGAAUUUUUUACCAGGAUGAAACAAUGAAGCACACCUUUAGCAU